ACGGGGGUACAGGCCUAUCACAUGCAAGUCGAGCGGAUGACGGGAGCUUGCUCCUUGAUUCAGCGGCGGACGGGUGAGUAAUGCCUAGGAAUCUGCCUGGUAGUGGGGGACAACGUUUCGAAAGGAACGCUAAUACCGCAUACGUCCUACGGGAGAAAGCAGGGGACCUUCGGGCCUUGCGCUAUCAGAUGAGCCUAGGUCGGAUUAGCUAGUUGGUGAGGUAAUGGCUCACCAAGGCGACGAUCCGUAACUGGUCUGAGAGGAUGAUCAGUCACACUGGAACUGAGACACGGUCCAGACUCCUACGGGAGGCAGCAGUGGGGAAUAUUGGACAAUGGGCGAAAGCCUGAUCCAGCCAUGCCGCGUGUGUGAAGAAGGUCUUCGGAUUGUAAAGCACUUUAAGUUGGGAGGAAGGGCAGUAAGUUAAUACCUUGCUGUUUUGACGUUACCGACAGAAUAAGCACCGGCUAACUCUGUGCCAGCAGCCGCGGUAAUACAGAGGGUGCAAGCGUUAAUCGGAAUUACUGGGCGUAAAGCGCGCGUUAGGUGGUUGUUAAGUUGGCAUGUGAAAGCCCCCGGGCCUCAAGCUGUGNAACUUGCAUUCCAAACUUGGCAAAGCUAGAGUACGGGAGAAGGGUGUGGAAUUCCUGNUGUAG
rnacentral:rRNA from 1 species